rnacentral:rRNA from 1 species
AUUCUACCAGCUAAUACCCCCAGACUAAGCUCCGACCUUACGGAAGGAGCGCAUUUAUUAGAACAAAACCAAUCGAGCUUCGGCUCGUAACUUGGUGAAUCUGAAUAACUUAGUCGAUCGCAUGGUCUUUGCACCGGCGACGCAUCUUUCAAGUGUCUGCCUUAUCAACUUUCGAUGGUAGUUUACGCGCCUACCAUGGUUGUUACGGGUAACGGGGAAUUAGGGUUUGAUUCCGGAGAGGGAGCCUGAGAAAUGGCUACCACAUCCAAGGAAGGCAGCAGGCACGCAAAUUACCCAAUCCCAGUUCGGGGAGGUAGUGACGAAAAAUAGCGAUGUAGUCCUCGAUGAGGCCUACAAUCGAAAUGGGAACAAUUUAAGUCCUUUAACGAGGAUCUAUUGGAGGGCAAGUCUGGUGCCAGCAGCCGCGGUAAUUCCAGCUCCAAUAGCGUAUAUUAAAGUUGUUGCGGUUAAAAAGCUCGUAGUUGGAUCUGCGGUUCAAAGUGUGUGGUCCCCCAGUGGGUGCGUACUGCAAUUUUCCUGACCUAAUCCUUCUGGUUGGCCCUAGUUGCUCUUAACUGAGUGGCUAAGGUGGCUAAAACUUUUACUUUGAAAAAAUUAGAGUGCUCAAAGCAGACGAAUUGUCUGAAUAUUGGUGCAUGGAAUAAUGGAAUAGGACCUCGGUUCCUAUUUUGUUGGUUUUAAGAGCUCGAGGUAAUGAUUAAAAGGGACAGACGGGGGCAUUGGUAUUGUGGCGUUAGAGGUGAAAUUCUUGGAUCGCCGCAAGACCGACUACUGCGAAAGCAUUUGCCAAGAAUGUUUUCAUUAAUCAAGAACGAAAGUUAGAGGUUCGAAGGCGAUCAGAUACCGCCCUAGUUCUAACCGUAAACUAUGCCAACUAGAAGUCUGCGGAAGAUAAAUAUUGGUCUUCGCAGGAGUCCUCACGGGAAACCUAUAAGUUUUUGGGUUCCGGGGGAAGUAUGGUUGCAAAGCUGAAACUUAAAGGAAUUGACGGAAGGGCACCACCAGGCGUGGAGCUUGCGGCUUAAUUUGACUCAACGCGGGGAAACUCACCCGGCCCGGACACCGUAAGGAUUGACAGAUUGAGAGCUCUUUCUUGAUUCGGUGGUUGGUGGUGCAUGGCCGUUCUUAGUUGGUGGAGUGAUUUGUCUGGUUAAUUCCGAUAACGAACGAGACUCUAGCCUACUAACUAGACAGCGGAUUUAGUUGUCCGCUGCACUUCUUAGAGGGACAAGUAGCGUCUAGCUACGCGAAAUUGAGCAAUAACAAGGCCUGUGAUGCCCUUAAAAUGUCCGGGGGCUGCACGCCGUGCUACAAUGGAAGGAAUCAACGGGGCUUC